rnacentral:rRNA from 1 species
UUGAACGCUGGCGGCAUGCCUUACACAUGCAAGUCGAACGGUAACAGGUCUUCGGAUGCUGACGAGUGGCGAACGGGUGAGUAAUACAUCGGAACGUGCCCGAUCGUGGGGGAUAACGCAGCGAAAGCUGUGCUAAUACCGCAUACGAUCUACGGAUGAAAGCGGGGGAUCGCAAGACCUCGCGCGGACGGAGCGGUCGAUGGCAGAUUAGGUAGUUGGUGGGAUAAAAGCUUACCAAGCCGACGAUCUGUAGCUGGUCUGAGAGGAUGAUCCGCCACACUGGAACUGAGACACGGUCCAGACUCCUACGGGAGGCAGCAGUGGGGAAUUUUGGACAAUGGGGGCAACCCUGAUCCAGCCAUGCCGCGUGAGUGAAGAAGGCCUUCGGGUUGUAAGCUCUUUCAGCCGGGAAGAAAUCACAUGGGUUAAUACCCUGUGUGGAUGACGGUACCGGAAUAAGAAGCACCGGCUAACUACGU